rnacentral:rRNA from 1 species
GAUGAACGCUGGCGGCGUGCCUAAUACAUGCAAGUCGAGCGAACAGAUGAGGAGCUUGCUCCUCUGACGUUAGCGGCGGACGGGUGAGUAACACGCGGAUAACCUACCUAUAGGACUGGGAUAACUUCGGGAAACCGGAGCUAAUACCGGAUAAUAUAUUGAACCGCAUGGUUCAAUAGUGAAAGACGGUUUUGCUGUCACUUAUAGAUGGAUCCGCGCCGCAUUAGCUAGUUGGUAAGGUAACGGCUUACCAAGGCAACGAUGCGUAGCCGACCUGAGAGGGUGAUCGGCCACACUGGAACUGAGACACGGUCCAGACUCCUACGGGAGGCAGCAGUAGGGAAUCUUCCGCAAUGGGCGAAAGCCUGACGGAGCAACGCCGCGUGAGUGAUGAAGGUCUUCGGAUCGUAAAACUCUGUUAUUAGGGAAGAACAAAUGUGUAAGUAACUAUGCACGUCUUGACGGUACCUAAUCAGAAAGCCACGGCUAACUACGUG